rnacentral:rRNA from 1 species
UACGUAGGGGGCAAGCGUUGUCCGGAUUUAUUGGGCGUAAAGAGCGUGUAGGCGGCUAGGUAGGUCCGUUGUGAAAACUCGAGGCUCAACCUCGAGACGCCGAUGGAAACCAUCUGGCUAGAGUCCGGAAGAGGAGAGUGGAAUUCCUGGUGUAGCGGUGAAAUGCGCAGAUAUCAGGAAGAACACCCGUGGCGAAAGCGGCUCUCUGGGACGGUACUGACGCUGAGACGCGAAAGCGUGGGGAGCGAACAGG